rnacentral:rRNA from 1 species
CCUACGGGUGGCUGCAGUAGGGAAUAUUGCUCAAUGGGGGCAACCCUGAAGCAGCAACGCCGCGUGGAGGAUGAAGGUUUUCGGAUUGUAAACUCCUUUUGUUAGAGAAGAUAAUGACGGUAUCUAACGAAUAAGCACCAGCGAACUCCGGGCCAGCAGCCGCGGUAAUACGGAGGGUGCAAGCGUUACUCGGAUUCACUGGGUGUAAAGAGCGCGUAGGCGGGAUCGCAAGUCAGAUGUGAAAUCAUAUGGCUUAACCAUAGAACUGCAUUUGAAACUGUUAUUCUAGAGUAUGGGAGAGGCAGGUGGAAUUCUUGGUGUAGGGGUAAAAUCCGUAGAGAUCAAGAGGAAUACUCAUGGCGAAGGCGACCUGCUAGAACAUAACUGACGCUGAUGCGCGAAAGCGUGGGGAGCAAACAGGAUUAGAUACCCGUGUAGUC